AAAGAAACUAACAAGGAUUCCCCUAGUAACGGCGAGUGAAGCGGGAUGAGCUCAAAUUUGUAAUCUGGUGGACUCAGUUCAUCCGAGUUGUAAUCUAUAGAAAAGUUUUCCGCGCCGGACCGUGUCUAAGUCCCUUGGAACAGGGUGUCAGAGAGGGUGAGAAUCCCGUGCUUGAUACGACCACCGGUGCUAUGUGAUACUUUUUCAACGAGUCGAGUUGUUUGGGAAUGCAGCUCAAAAUGGGUGGUAAAUUCCAUCUAAAGCUAAAUAUUGGCGAGAGACCGAUAGCGAACAAGUACCGUGAGGGAAAGAUGAAAAGCACUUUGGAAAGAGAGUUAAACAGUACGUGAAAUUGUUAAAAGGGAAACGAUUGAAGUCAGUCGUGCUCUCUGGGACUCAGCCGGUUCUUCCGGUGUAUUUCCCAGUGAGCGGGUCAACAUCAGUUUAGAUCGCUGGAUAAGGUCAUUAGGAAUGUGGCUCCCUCGGGAGUGUUAUAGCCUAGUGUCGCAUACAGUGGUUUAGACUGAGG
rnacentral:rRNA from 1 species